UUGGAAGGAGCGAAACAGGCAGAUUUUUCACGGUUCUGCCAUGCCUGCUCUCCUGGUGGCCUACUCGGUGUGGGAUGACUUAAGGGGCAGGGUGCACGCCUGUUCCGCCAACCCGGGAUUUUUUUUUCUUUUUCAUUCUUUUCCUUUUUCCCAGGGAAAAUUUGUUAAUUGUUUCUCUUUGCACAGUGAUUCUCUUCUAAUCGAAUGACGGAAUCGACCGUCUUUGCCUAAAAAAAAAGAAAUACCAAAUUACUGUGCCAUUUCACAUUGGAUCAAUAUCGCAAACAGAUCAAACGGUGCAUUCAUUGGGUUCCAGCCUGGACCGCUUGCCCAUCGUCGUCCACUGGUGCGGCCUGGGGUUAGGGUUUAGGGUUAUUUUUGAUUGAUCACCGUCAGCUAUUUUCAAUCACCUCCAUGCCCUCCGCUCAUGUUCUUCCCCCUCCAAAAAAGAGGUGACGCAGCAGAACACGAGCGGAGGGCCCGGAGGUGCAAGCUGCAAUGACUGGACGUUGGAGAGGAUGGGGGUGGUGGCGUGGUGGCUGGAAGUUUUUACUCCGGCUGCGCCAAAAUUAUGUGGGUUCGACCAUGGUAAGAAUGGGGGCCACAACUAUUUACUCGAUCACAUCAUCACCAUGGCAACAAUGACAUAGCACUUAGGUGGGUCCCACGAGGGCAGUAGCGAGUCAAAUGACAUGGCGCUUUAUUGGGUCACAUGGCGGAAGAGGGGAGUGAAAGGACAUGGCAGAGAGUGCAGAGACCUAACGGCAAACGGCUGCAACAUCCCCAAGUAGCUUAGAGGCACUACCGCAGAAAACCCCUCUAGUGGCGGUCGAAAAACAGGGUUAGUGGCGGUGGCUAGGCCCGCCACCAACUCUGCACCGCUGGUGGUCAUGGAUCACCACUGGCGGUUCAAAUCCCCGCUACUGGUGAUGCCUUCUUCGGCACCUUCUGAAAGGUGCGUAGAGGACACCAAUUGCGGGCUGCAGACCCGCCACUCGUGAUUUCCAGUGGCGAUGAUCACUGGCUUCAUGUUCCGUACCAGUGGCAGUGACUGAUAACCCCCCGGUACGUUUUUCAAGUGAAAAAUAUAAUAAUUAAUUAAUUAUCUAGUAUUUCUGUAGCAGCAGUAUAUAUACAUAGUAUAUAUCAGCAAAGAAACAGUGUAGGAACGACAGUAUAGCAGCAAUACAUUACAAAGUUCCUCGCGAAUUUACAUUCACAUGCACACAAAGUGUUUCAAAAUGAGAUUAAAAUCUUUUGGCGACAACCCCGCCGUCGUAGAAAUCUCCGGUCUCCUUGAGGACCUCCCUGUUGAAGAAUUCGCCGAUGUCCUUCUGGAUCUCGUACACGAGAAUUUCUAAGUUGUGUCCUACUUCGGCCGCCGUCGACAGGACGAAGACAACCCCGGCUCCUUAUCGCUGGUCUGGUACUCUCUCGCCCUUCCUCUUCACUCUGUUUCCCUCACCCGUGCCUUGCUGAAGCAGUCCUUCUCCGUACGUAUUGUAGAUGCCGUUCUUCUCCGUGCUGCACCUCAAGAUCAUGGGCGCGGAGAACACCUUCGGGAUGUGUUGAUUUAUUGCCGAUUAUUUUGCUUAGAAUCGUUGAUUGUAUCCAGACAGAUUUUUUUGUGCUUGUAAAUCCGAUUUGGUUAUGUUCGUUUUGCUCUAUGCAGUGCCGGCCAUGGCCUUCCUUUUUUGUUAUCGCCAGAUUAAUUGUUUAUGAGUGGCCGUCUCUCCUCUCUCUCUCUCUCUCUGGUUCUCUCUCUGGCUGCAGAUCGUCGCCGGCGCCAUGGAGAUGCGUGGAACGGACCUGCACUAUGCCAGAACGGAGCUCUGGUGGACGACCUCCGGUGGUCGUUCGAGCGGGGCAAACAAAUCCCACCGAACACCAGUGGCCGUGUAUCGCCACGGCCACUGGUGGCGGUGGCCGUGGAGAUGAUGACAGGAGAACCACCGCCACUGGUGCUCCACUAGCAGUGGCUGUGCCCGUCCACGGUCACUGGUGUUUGGUAGGGAUUUCCCUAGUGGUUACUAGUGGCUUUUCUAAACUCAAACCUGCCACUGGUGACCCCCCACCUCCAGUGGUCAGGAGACCCUUGAAAAUUGUAAAAUCCAUAUCUGAUUCAUAAAAAAUCAUAAAAAUUAAUUAUUUUGCUGAAGUUUUAGUUUUAAUUAUUAACAUUGUGAAAUAAUAAUAUCAGUAUUUUGAGUGGAAAAAGUAAUUAUUUAUAUCAUAUAUGAUGAUUAUCUUGGUUCUAAAUCAUUUUUUAGGAAAACACCAUGUGAUAUUACUGUGCCGACAUGUUAACAAAUAAAAAUGGAGACUUCAGCAAAAAUAAUCACAUUUCUUUGUGUUUUUUGAACUAGUUAUGAAUUUUCGAGUUUCAAGGGUCUCCGGGGGUUCAUCUGUGGGUGUCCGUAGGCCCGCCACUGGUGAACUACCAUUGGCUGGUUUCCCACUGAGGCCCGCCAGUGCCGACACUGGUGCUGGUACCAGAGGGGUUUACAAAAUUUUGAACCCUGGUACCACCAAUUGCGGGUUGACAAAUUCUGAAGGAAGUUUUAAAUUCAUAUUAUAUUCUUUGUGUUCCAAAAAAUUUAACCACCCAUCCUUUUGGGUGUACAAUAAUAAUUUCUUUUCCUAUUCCACGUUUGAAACCUAAAUACAAAAGUAUCAUCAACAAUUUAUAUGAUUAUGUUGUUCAUAUUCAAGUUAUUAAUUGUUAUAAAUUGAAUUUUGCUCAAAAUGAUCUGAAAUUUUGCAUAGAAACUUAUUAAACAACAAGAGGCUUAAAUAUAAUUUUUUGUGACAAAAUUCCAAGGGAAGCACUUUAGUUCUUCAUUUUGGGACCAUCCAAGUAGAUAUCUUUGAAACCAUCUAACCCAAUCAACCGAAUAUGGCUUGAAAUUAUAUAUGAACUUGAAUUCGCGGGCGCCUCGGAUUCGCGGGUUCUUAGAACCCUGAAAAUCAAGUUGCUGGGGAACUUCACAAGUCCAGUCAUGUGAUCUCAGAUCCAAAUCAUCAUGUCACCGAUGCAAUCUCAACUCUCAGACCAGCCAUCAAAUUUGUUACUAUUCAUAAGUCAGGUUUGUCCCGGCGAUAUAAAAGUCGGAUACACACUCCGCGAAAAAGAAAGACUGACACGAUACUUUUUAUUCAUCAAUAUAUAGCUUGCAACGCAUGGGUACAUUAUUAAUAGUAGUAGUAAAACAUUACAUGAUCGCGGGUGCACCACAAAUUGUGAAAUAGGAAACAUUGAAUAUAGAUAAAUAAAAGGGAAAACGAGAGGUGAGCAUAUGCGAAUGUUUCACCAAUCUAGUGUUACAGAAUGAUGGUAUAAAUGGUAAAUAAACUCGGAUUAAUGGCCGGCAUACCCACGCUGCAGGCGGUGAUGAGGGGCCCGUUGGAAGCUAGGUGGGUAUGGCCAGGCACAGCUGCACGCAGGAUUUCUCACAUCCAGGGGUGAAUACAUCAACACAGGUCUUGCCCAGCACUUGCAGCGCCGUCCCUUGCACGCCGCAAAUGAGUUUCUCGCACAAUACCUUCUCUGCAAAGUCCUUGCAGACAUCUCUGCAGUUUUGUUCGCAAACAUACCUGCUAGUACUGCAAGUUGGCACAACUAACCCGAGGAAGUCAGCGGCCAUCGCCGGCUGCCCCGCGGUGGACAGAACGAUGACCAGCACGGCACACGCGGCCGCCAUCUUAAGCUUGGAGGCAGCCAUUGAUUGAUAUCCGUACCAAGGAAUUAAAGAUAUGGCCAAGAGAAGAUGGCAACUACUGAGAGUGUGUAGUACUGGUGCUCUUACGAGUGCAGGGCGAUGCUGUUUUUAUAGGCAACGACGUGCUAGCAAGCUAGCUGUCACUCUGAGGAGCUAGCGCCUCUUGGUUGGUUUCGGCGGUGGAGCUAUAUGGAAUUAAUUAAAGGACGACUUCACAUAUCGGUAUUUAGAUUUUUUGUUGUUUAUAUUUUUUUAAGCACAAUUAUGUAUAUAUGUAGUAGCUGUACGUGGAGGGACAACUUCGAUCUGAUGGUCGAUGCUGCUCGUAUUUUGACACAUAUUAAUUAAUUUUAACUACUAGCUACUGCACGCAUAAUCUAGCAUAAAUUUUAGUCCAAGAUAAAUGACUGUCAUAUGGCUCAAUUAAUUUCCAAUUUUAAUCCCCUAGAACUAGCAGUCUUCCUCGAACUGUAAAACCGUUCUGCAAUAUCUAAUCCUUCAUGUGAUCGCAUCCCACACAAUCUGGAUGCAUGAAACAUCGCCCAAAAACUAUGGCAACGUCUCUGCAUGAAUGAUCCGUGCAUGUGCUUUCUUAGUUACUUGUGAUUUCCUACGUAUGCAGUAUCAUGCACCAGUUGACCUCACUGCAUUUAUAGAAUUUACUCGAGAUCCACACAUGCGGAGUAUGUAUUAACCUAUCCUAGAAUAUUUUUCUUUUUUCCGGUUAACCAAUGCUAGAAUCGAUCUUACCGUAUAUGGACGUCAUCAUAUCUCUCUUCACUCAUAAUGGAAAAUAUGCAUUAAACUGCAGCAUCGUAUCAUGAAAACUUCACAUCUUCAUGCAGCGCAACUUAAUUUGUUUGGUAAUUUCCAAUUGAGGGAAUCGCAUUGGAGGCCCAUGAAUUUGGCACCCGGGCUUAAUUAGUUUAGUCCAACACUUGAAAAUCUAUCAUAGGUACCCCUAAACUUGGUUUGCGGGCACACAUUAGGUCCAAAUGACAAUUCUGACCGUAAUCCUGAUGAUAUGGCGUUCAUUAUUUGUAGCACCUUCUCAAGUCUCUUUUUUUUGGAAAACCCAUUCCCAUGUUGCUCCCUUCAAUUUAGUUCUACCGGAGAACCUAGCUUUUCCGAAGACUUUUUGUCAGGACCUUCAGCAAAGAGAUUCCACGCGAGCUACUUUCGGCAAAGGGGUUUUUGCCGGAGGCCUUUUUUCGUGCCUACUGCAAAGAAAGGCCUCUUUGCUGAGAGCAACCUACAGCAAAGAUGAUGAGUUUUUAAAAAAAAAAAAUCUUCCCGGCUGAAACCGGAGCACACCGCGGCAGCCCACAUAGAUCCACAGUGUAGCAAUAAUCCACCAUCUCGACAUGUUGGCUGCUGCACUCGCGUUAGCUAGUCCUCUCCUGAAAGAGGGCGCUCUCAGCCCACUAGCUUGUAAUUGCCAAAUGCUAGUUAUCACUAAGUCGAUCCAUUAGUCACGGAAUACGCGCGCAUGCAGUAUCAUGCACGUUAAUGUGCAUGUUCCUUCCAGGUGGAUUAAUUACAGAAUUAACUUGUGAUCUGCUAGUGCAGGAGUUAUGCUAAUACAGCACUACCUUCGGCCCCAACGCAUCCCUAGGUUGAAGAUUUAACUAAUGUAACAUGUGAUUCUUAUAUCUCAAAAAUUAUAUCAUUAGAAAAUAUAAUAUCUAAAGUUUCUAAUCGUAUAGUUUUUGUGUUAUAAAACUCAUGUUACAUUAAUUAUAUCUUCAACCUAGGGAUGCGUGGGGGCCCCAUAUAUCGGAACGGAGGUAGUAUAGAGAUGUCAGCUCGAAUCUAACCGUUAACACGAUCGCAUCCCACUAACUCGUACACAUGACAUACAGGAGUAGAUCAUUGCAGCAUCAUGUCGAUUAAAUUGCACGUUUUCAUUCCUCAAUUAUGUUCGGUACUUGCAAUUUUUGGUGAGCAAGAUGUACCAAAACUAUUCCGGUAAUUUCGAAUUAGCAUAAUCUAGUAUAGAAUAACACUAGUACUCCCGCCUUCGAUCCGGGAAUUGGAGGCUAAAUUUGGACGAUUGGAGAGAACCAUAGAGAAAUGCUAAUUAACUUGUGAUCCACUAAUGUAGGAGUUAUGCUAGUUACCACUAAUGUAGGAGUUAUGCUAGUAUAUGAUUUUUGGGCUUUUUUUGUUUAGCCAGUUGAAACAGGCGGAUUUCUUUUCUCAUGAUAAGUAAUUGAAUUGUGGAUAUACUCAAUAAAAAAUUAAAUACAAAGUAAUGAGAAUUUUUUUACAAUAAGUAUCUGAAGGCAUAGGUAAUAAAUUAACUCAAAGAAACAAAGUACUGUAUUUGGGGAAAUUCGCAAAAGAAAUAAAGUGUUGUAUUUAUGAAAAUUAUACUCCCUCCGUCCCAAAAUAAGUGACAUGAAAAUGUACGUCACUUAUUUUGGGACGGAGGGAGUGAGAUUUGGCAUUGUAUUUAUGGAAGAAGAGAGUACUACUAUCUUAUGAAAAAUUAAUGGUCAGUUGAUAUUAAUGUAUGGCAUGGGGAUCCUGAUAUCACCUUGAUUCAGGUACCGUGGACUCUUAUAUCGAUCUUUUUGUGCUAACCAUGCACCAUGCUGUUGUUCUAAAGUCAAAUUAACUCGUGAUUGACUCAUAUAUUAAGUUAUGUUAAUAUAGUAUAGGUUUGUCAGUACAAAUCUAGUCAUUCACGUGAUCACAUCCCACUCAAUCUGAAUGAAACAUAUAGAACGUAACUAUAACAACGUAUCAGCCGUAUGAAUCCGCCUGGAUGCAUGAUGCAUGCGGGGAUACGCCGUAUCUGUCUUGUAAUUGCAAAUGGCCAGCUGUCAUCAUGUUACCUCAUCAGGGUGUAUGUACGCAGUAUCAUGCACCUUUGCGUGUUGACUUGAAUGGAUUAUAGAAUUUACUCGUGUUCCACCCAUCUAUUAAAGCUAUGCUAGAAUCUGACCAUUCACGUGAUCAUAUCUCAGUGGAGCGCGCGCACGCCAGUAUCAUGCACCUUUGCAUGUUCCCUUCAGGUGGAUUACCCAAUUUACUCGUGAUCAACUGAUGUAGGUUGUCAGCCGGAAUUUAACCAAACCAAAAAUACUUCCUCGAAGGAUAUAUAGGCACCUACCUGCACCAUCGUCGACAAAGGCUACGCUUCAAUUCUUUUCGAAUUCUUUUGGGCUUCUGAGAAGCUGCUCUUCCCUAUUUCGGGAGAAGUUGGUCAACGUACGUAUGCCAAUUGAUUUCAACACUAUCAGAGUCUAGCUCCUACCUGCAGUCUCCAGUUUCCGCACCGAUAUGGAGAGAUCUUCCAGGCAUAUACAAUCUUCUGUGGUAGCGACUUGUCGAUCGUGAAGGCUUGUACAUUGUACUACUACCAGAUGGGUACUGUCACUGACGGUUAAUUCCUUGAGUUAUCGGCUGCGCGGCAGAGAGGCAAUUAAUGUCACAACAGCUGGCUGGGCCAAAGCGCGGAGCCCAGAGAGAUCGAUCGGCCCAGCGGGGCGAGGAGCUUCAGUGCCAAGCUGGCCUAGGAGCAAGCAGGCAAAGGGCCACCCGACCUCGGUUCCGAGGAAGUUGAUGACUGGCCUGUCCUCAUCUUCUCAGAAUCCCUAGCAGAUGUUGAACUGAACCCAUUAACGACGGUCUCUUCUCCCAUCUCUGUGCUAACAAUCUGAACUGACAUCAAAAUUGUCCUCGUGGAUCAUGUGCUAAUUGAUAUUCCCUUCGUUAUAGAACGACUCCCCAGAUCCCCCGAUCCGAAAAAACCGGGAGCCCCGAUCCAUCCUUCUCCCUCGCCGCUGCCGGCUCACGCCGCCAGGCAAGCCCGUGCAGGUCUGGUGGCGGCGGGCCCCGUGCUUGCUGCAGUUCUCUGCCGGCGGAGCAGGCCAGCUUUGGCGCGACGCCUCCCUGCCCGCAGUGGCGGUGGUGGCUGCCCUGGGCGCGUCUCGCGGCCGGCCUUAGCGGCGGCGCCUCCCUGGCCGCGUCGGUGCGUGCGGCCGCCGGCAGGCCCUUCCUCGCCGGAUCCGGCAAUCAUCUUCGUCGGCUCUCGUGUUGGCGGGGUGUGUGUGGUGUGGGUCGGUACCGGGAGAAAUUCUUGGUCGGCUCAUCCGACCACGACGACGGGGACGUCUUUGUACGUCUUUCUCCUUGUCUGAGGCGUCGUUGAGGUACCUGCACAGCACACCCGCUCGAGAUUCCCGGGUGAAAACCCAGUCCUCGGACUAGACGGCCGUAGCGCCGAUGGUGUCGCUUUCCCCUGACAGGUCCUCAGAGUCUCCCUCGAUCUCACAAUCUGUGGACACAACGAGAAAACUCGAUUUCAGUGGACACAAACAGCAAGACAAAACAACAAACACCUCACAGUCACAGCUCGAAAUAAGAACAGAGCACACACAGAGAAAUUGGUUUCCAGUCCCCCUAUCGAUGGGGUGACCUUCCUUCUUGCUAUUCAAAGUAGCUACUCUCUCAGGCAAAACGCUGAGGAGAUUUUACACAGGGCAUACUCUUCCGGUGCUCCUCAGAGUCGCUCCUCUGUUCUCUCACAUGACGUCGCUCAUACCCCUGUCCACUGUACAUAAUGUGGAGCAGUUUUAGGUGCGUCAACUACAGUGGAUCUAGCCUACACGGUUUGACUAUUAGCCCUGCUUUACAACUCAACAGUAACAAGUUUGUUUACAGGAAGAAAGUAACACAGCAGGAUUAAUUUUGCUAACAAUGUCUCCCUUCAUCCUGCACUUGUCUCUUCACAUGUCGAAGUCCAAUUCUCUCCCUCAGUUCCAAGAACUUCACUUUGGGCAAUGGCUUCGUCAGCAAAUCUGCGAGUUGAUCACUUGUACCAACAUGUUCAACAGCUACACUGCCCUCAUCAACACAUUCUCUUAUGUAGUGGUAACGAGUCUGGAGGUGCUUGUUCGGAUCAUGGUAUACAGGAUUUUUAUUAUCAAUUUUCAGUUUGACACAGUUAACCUUGCCCAGUAGCUCUCCAAGUAACCUGCUCAGCCAUAUGCUUUGACAAGCUGCAGUGGUUACAGCUAUAUACUCAGCUUCGCAGGAUGACAAGGCAACUACCUUUUGUUUUUGUGAUGCCCAAGUAAUCAGGUUGGAGCCGAGGAAGAACACCAUGCCACUAGUGCUCUUCCUAUCAUUUAUAUCACCGGCGUGAUCACUGUCACUGAAACCCACAAGACCAGGUUGUUCUUCUCUCUUUCUCCCAAAACAACAAACGAGAGAGAUUGUCCCACGUAUGUAUCUCAAAAUUUGUUUCACAGCAGUCAUGUGGUGCACUGAUGGAUCUUCCAUAAAACGACUCACAAUACCAACUGAAUAUGCAAUAUCAGGUCUGGUAUUGACCAAGUAUCUCAAUCUCCCAACAUAGCUUCUGUAUAGUGUGGAAUCAACCUUUUCAUCAUCUUUAUUCUUGUGCAAUUUCAGUCUUGGCUCCAUUGGCACCUGCACUGGGUUGCGAUUAGACAAGCCUGCUUUCUCAAGUAUCUUCAUAACAUAGCUUGUUUGACACAUUGUGAUGCCAUCUGAAGUUUGUGCAACUUCUAUACCGAGGUAGUAGGACAAUAGACCAAGGUCGCUCAUCUUGAACAAUUCCAUCAUUUGGUUUUUGAACUUUGUAAUCUCAUCAACACUUGAGCCAGUUAUGAUCAAGUCAUCAACAUAUACUCCAAUGAGUAGUCUUGUCUCACUAGAAUUUCUGGCGUAAACACCAUGCUCAAGCGGACAUUUCACAAAGCCAAGGGACAGUAAGCUUGUCUCAAGCUUGAGUUCCAGGCUCUUGGGGCCUGGCGCAAUCCGUAGAGUGCUUUUCUCAAUUUCAGGACCUUGUACUCCUUCCCUUCUUCCUCAUAUCCAGGAGGCUGGCGCACAUAUACAUCUUCUUUCAGCUCUCCAUUUAGGAACGCUGAUUUAACAUCCAUAUGGUGCACACACCAGCCCUCCUGUGCUGCUAAAGCAACUAACAGCCGUACUGUCUCCAUACGAGCCACGGGAGCAAAAACUUCAUCAAAGUCUAGUCCCUUUCUCUGCACAUGCCCUUUUGCAACUAGCCGGGCUUAACACUUCACAAUUUCUCCAUUUGGAUUUUUCUUCACUUUAAACACCCACUUCAAACCAAUGGCUUUUUGACCUGUUCGGGAAUCAACCAUGCUCCAGGUUUGAUUUUCAGUGAUUGACGACAUCUCUUCGUCCAUUGCUCUCCUCCGGCAAACCUCCUUUUGGGCCUCUUCUAAAGAUGAGGGCUCCUCUGCUCCAAGCAUACACUCAUCAUCAAGAUCAAGUGCACAAGGUGAUGUGUUAUCUAGUAUUUCGGUCAAAUUUCGGUAGCCUUGUGGUCCCACACUUGAAUCUGCUUGUUCAUCUUCAGUAUCCAUGUCGUCGCCUCCUACUGCUGCUGGUGUAGCAGGGGCUGUGGACAUGGGUGUGGCAGGCGAUGUUGGUGAAAUAUCUCCCUGCGUUGUUGCUUCUGGUAACGAGGCCACGGACUUAACAUCAGGUCCGGUGUCCAUCGGCGCCUCUUGAAUCCCAAUGCUCUCUUGCGCUGGAUAGAAGACCGUAAACUCAUCACUGCCAUCAUUUUCUUCAAGUGCUUCCACUGUACUCCAUUCCCACUUUUUCUUCUCAUCGAACACAACAUCUCGUGAGAUUAUUACCUUCUUGCCAGUAGGACAAUAGAGUCCAUAAGCUUUUGAAUUUGCUUCAUAACCAAUUAACACACACUUCAUACUUCUGUCAGCCAGCUUGGUUUGAUUUGGUUUAGUGAUUUUCGCAUAGGCAAUGCUACCAAAAGUUCUCAAAUGAUGUACCUUCAGUUUCUUCUCAUAUGGGGUCUUGUUUGCAAGACUCUUUGUGGGUGAACGAUUUAACAAGUACACUGUAGUGCACACGGCUUCACCUCACAACCAAGACGGCAUGCAUUUGCUCUUCAGAAGGCUUCUUGCCAUAGAGACCACGGUCUGAUUUCUACGCUCGACCACUCCAUUUUGCUGUGGUGAGUAGAGAGCUGUAAGAUAAUGCCUUAUGCCAUGAGCUUCACAAUACUCAUUGAACUCAUUUCAGGUAAAUUCCCCACCUCUGUCAGUUCUGAUUGAUUUCAGUUCUAGGCUCAUCUCUUUCUCAGCUCUCUUUCUAAUUUUAUGUAUUCCAGACAAGGCUUGGUCUUUUGACUUCAUUAACACAACCCACAUGUAUCUGAUCGUCAACCACUAAUAGAAAGUACCGGUUGCCAGCUGGUGUAGGUGGCGAAACCGGUCCACACAAAUCAGCAUGGACUAGUGCUAGUUGCUUCUCAGCCCUGAAGUUUGCUUUGCCAGGAAAUGAAUUUCUCCUUUGUUUGCCAACAAGACACCCUUCACAAAUUUGCUCCACAUGAUCAAUUUGUGGUAGCCCAUGUACCAUUCCCUUCUGUGCAAGUGCACGGAGUGAUCUGAAAUUAAGGUGGCCAUAUCUUGUGUGCCACAACCAAGCAUCAUCAGUUUGAACUGUCAUUAGACAUAUAGGUCGAGAUAGCCCCAGUUCCAGGAUAUAGAGUCUGUUUUUACUCCUCUUUACAUUUGCUAGUAAUUUUCUCUCGACAUCAUAGAUGCGAAGAUAGUCAUCUUCAAUUACCACCUUGCAGCCAUUUUCUGAAAGUUGACCAACACUGAUAAUAUUUGUCUUCAGUGCAGGAAUAUGAUAUACAUUUGUCAUGGCCCUAUGGUCACCAUUUCGGCACUGAAAUAUUACAGUACCUCUCCCUUUUAUUUCUACGGUUGAGCCAUCACCAAAUUUCACUUUUCCUGUCACCGAAGUAUCCAAGUCACUGAACUUGUCUUUGCAUCCUGUAAUGUGAUUGCUAGCUCCGGUAUCAAGGUACCAGCUCCCUCUAUCCCUGUUUUCUCCAUUGCAAACCUAAAGCAGCACCUUUUCUUCUCUUAGAAAAACUUCUCCUUGCACUUCCACACUAGUACAUGAUAAUUCACAGGUCUGCAUCAUCAACGCUGCAUGCCCUUCAUCCCCAUCUUCGCAACCUUUUUCAGCUACAAAAGCCUUUUCUUUCUUUGGUUUGCGACAUUCCUUUUUGAAGUGGCCUUUUCUUCCACGGUUAUGACAUCUGACCUUUCUCUUAUCAAAUUUCCAUUCUCCUUUCUUUUGCUCACCUCCCUGGCUACUACUGCCACCAAAGGAUUCUAGUUUAAUGUGAUUCGUGUAUCCUUUUGCCUCACUAUGCGAGCCGUCGCUGGUUCUCUUCUUUCCAGUGUAGCUCUCCCAUUGUGAGCGGGAAAGCAUCAAGUGUUCCCCUUGAUUAGGAUCACCAAACCUCAUCUUAACCCUGUCAUCAUACGCCUUAUAGCGCCCAACUAGAUCUUCCACGGUUAAAGUUCUAAGAGGCACACACACUCAAUUGAUGUAACUAUCUGCAUAUAACGUGCUGGUGCAGCUUGCAAGAAUUUUUGCACUACUCUUAGCUCAGAAAGAGUGUCACCGAGCGAGCGUAUACCUGCAACCAUGGCUGUGAUGCGGCCUGCAAAAUCAUCCACCGAUUCUGCAUCUCCCAUCUGGAGCUUCUUGAAGUCCUUCCGCAGGGACUGGAGGCUUGCUUCUCGGACCCGGUCGUGCCCAACAAACGACAUCUUGAUGGAAUCCCAGGAACCCUUUGCAGUGUCGCGGCCAGUGAGGGACGUCAUGAAGGAGUCGGGCACAACGGAGUAGAUGGCGAGCAGAGCUUCUCUGUCCAUGUCGUAGUCGACAUCGAGCCGCUGCAUCGCCUCCCAAAUAUGCGCGGACUGCAUCGCCACACGCAUCUUCAUGGUCCAGAUGGUGUAGUUUGAGCGCGUCAGUUGCGGCCAUGUCACCGGGGGACACGGCCGCGGCGCCGGCGUCGGGGUCGCCUUCGGGAGUGGGGAUUUGGAAUCCUUGUCCCCAUCAGCGUUCAACGCCUCUAAUUUCUCCCUAAUUUUUGCCAAGUCUUCCUCCAAGGCCGCCCUCUGCUCCUGCUUCAAUUUCUCUGCCGCCUCUGCGGCCUCCUGGGUGUCGUCCGCCAUUGCUGCUCGCCCCGCCUCCAACCACGGCUCUGAGGCCAAAUGUCUCCCCAGAGUCUCCCUCGAUCUCACAAUCUGUGGACACAACAAGAAGACUCGAUUUCAGUGGACACGAACAGCAAGACAAAACAACAAACACCUCAUAGGCACAGCUCGAAACAAGAACAGAGCACACACAGAGAAAUUGGUUUCCAGUCCCCCUAUCGAUGGGGUGACCUUCCUUCUUGCUAUUCAAAGUAGCUACUCUCCUGGGCAAAACGCUGGGGAGAUUUCACACAGGGCAUACUCUUCCGGUGCCCCCCAGAGUGAGCUAUACGCCGCUCCUCUGUUCUCUCACACGACGUCGCCCAUACCCCUGUCCACUGUACAUGACGUGGAGCAGUUUUAGGUGCGUCAACUACAGUGGCUCUAGCCUACACGGUUUGACUAUUAGCCCUGCUUUACAACUCAACACUAACAAGUUUGUUUACAGGAAGAAACUAACACGGCAGGAUUAAUUUUGCUAACACCCGCUUCGGGGCGUCGUUGGGGGAAUGCUAGAUUUGCGAGUGAAGGGUGGCAGUCGCUGCUGGGCACGUGUUCUUCGGGGGCUUUGGUUUGCAACGUCGUUGACAAGGCUGGCAUUUCAAUGCUUCGUUUUUUCGUCUUGAAGAUGGGUUGCUGGAUGAUGGUGGUGGCUGAUUCUGGAGCGUGCACAGUCGGCACACGUUGAGAAUUCGCUAGCCCGGUUGUGCUCUUCGUGUGGCCUUCGGAUUUAGGUGUUGGGUGUUGGUGCGGUCAAGGCACUCGGCUCCGAUAAUGGCCACACCCUCAUUAGUCUUGUAGGAAUAGCUUGGUGGCUUUGGGUCAAUUGAUCGUUGUAUUCGUCUCGCCAGACUUGUAAAUAAUUGAUUAAAUUUGGUUGUGUGCAUCAAUUUGAUGCAGAGGCUGGGGGUCUCAACCUCCUUUUCGGAAAAAAAAAAUCAAAAUUGUCCUCGUGCCCAAGUGUUUACCCACAUUAUGGCCAAAGAUCAUCAUUAUGGACAUCCACGAAAAUAUCCGAAUUGUUGUCAUAGUACCUAGCCAGGUAAGUCUUGUUUUUUGUGUGUGUGGUAGGUAAGUCUUGGUUUGACUACAGAGGUAAUUCGAUCAAAAUCCUUCGGUAAGUCCUUGUGUUAGUCAAUCGAUAGCCAAUGCUGUCGCUUACUCUGGUUUUACCAUCGUACAGGGAUUCCGUGCAACAUCUAUGGCAAAUCUUCUGAAGAAAUCCAGAGGCAGCAGACCCCUACGUUUAUUAUCAGAAAUCCCAAAUUACUGCAGGGCUUUGGGAGGGCCUCCUGUUCGGCCUAGGGCUGGGACACCGGCCCUCCUAUUCUCACGCCGGCGGCGGACUCGGUCAAUGAGCUUUGGGAGGGCCUCCUGAUCGGCCUCCUGAAGAAGGCCAAGAAAGCGCUCAGUGGCAGGUUGAUCUACACUUGGUGGGUAUUUGGAAGGAGCGAAACAGGCAGAUUUUUCACGGUUCUGCCAUGCCUGCUCUCCUGGUGGCCUACUCGGUGUGGGAUGACUUAAGGGGCAGGGUGCACGCCUGUUCCGCCAACCCGGGAUUUUUUUUUCUUUUUCAUUCUUUUCCUUUUUCCCAGGGAAAAUUUGUUAAUUGUUUCUCUUUGCACAGUGAUUCUCUUCUAAUCGAAUGACGGAAUCGACCGUCUUUGCCUAAAAAAAAAGAAAUACCAAAUUACUGUGCCAUUUCACAUUGGAUCAAUAUCGCAAACAGAUCAAACGGUGCAUUCAUUGGGUUC
rnacentral:lncRNA from 1 species